AAUGAACGUUGGCGGCGUGGAUUAGGCAUGCAAGUCGUACGCUUUAUGUAGCAAUACAUGAAGAGUGGCGAAAGGGAGAGUAAUGCAUGGUUAGCUACCCUCGGGACUGGGAUAGCGGCGGGAAACUGCCGGUAAUACCAGAUGACGUCUUCGGACCAAACGUGUAAACCGGCCCGAGGAGGCGACCAUGUCCUAUCAGCUAGUUGGCGGUGUAAUGGACCAGCAAGGCAAAGAGGGGUAUGGGGCGUGAGAGCGUGCCCCCACUCACCGGGACUGAGACAAUGCCCAGACACCUACGGGUGGCUGCAGUCGAGAAUCUUCGGCAAUGGGCGCAAGCCUGACCGAGCGACGCCGCGUGCGGGAUGAAGGCCUUCGGGUUGUAAACCGCUGUCGUAGGGGAGGAAGGUCUGGUGUAGAGCCAGGCUUGACCGAUCCUAGGAGGAAGGGCCGGCUAAUCUCGUGCCAGCCGCCGCGGUAACAC
rnacentral:rRNA from 1 species